rnacentral:rRNA from 1 species
GUUAGGAAUAUUGGACAAUGGGCGAAAGCCUGAUCCAGCCAUGCCGCGUGAACGAUGAAGGCCUUCGGGUUGUAAAGUUCUUUAGCCGAUGAUUAUAAUGACUGUAGUCGGAAAAUAAGCCCCGGCUAACUUCGUGCCAGCAGCCACGGUAAUACGAAGGGGGCGAGCGUUAUUCGGAAUCACUGGGCGUAAAGCGUGCGUAGGCGGUUUUGUAAGUUAGGAGUGAAAGCCCAGGGCUCAACCUUGGAAUUGCUCUUAAAACUGCAAGGCUCGAAUCUCGGAGAGGAUAGCGGAAUUUCCAGUGUAGCAGUGAAAUGCGUAGAUAUUGGAAGGAACACCAGUGGCGUAAGCGGCUAUCUGGACGAGUAUUGACGCUGAGGCACGAAAGCGUGGGGAUCAAACAGGAUUAGAUACCCUUGUAGUCC